AAAAAAAUGAAAAUUUAGCAGGAAAAUAGGAAAAAUUGUAGAACACUGGAAUCUAUAAUUUUUUUGAUAUUUUUGACAUGUAUUUAAUAGUGUCUGUUGGCUUGGCCUGCUGAAAGUCGACCAAAUAGGCUCUAAUAGAAACAAAUCAAGUGGCAAUGUCCAAUCUACCAACUUCAUGUCGACUUUUAAGUACCUUGAGUUAUUAUUGGAUGACUUAGAGAAGAUGAAGCAGGAUUUCUUAUGGAAAGGGGCUGAGGAAAAACAUAAAUUUCAUCCAAUGUAGUGGGAGGAAGUUUGUAAUCCUAUGGACGAAGGGGUGCCGGGUUAAGAAGUUUGGAUCUUAUGAAUUCAGCACUUCUAGGAAAGUUGAUUUGGAGGUUUGGAGCGGAAGAGGGGAGCCUUUGGAAAGAAGUGGUGGGUAGGAAGUAUGGGGUAGAGGAGGGUUUAUGGAUGAAAUCUUGUUGUAUAAAGCGUCGUCACUUUGGAAAUUGGUGCCUUCGUUGAAUAAUAAAUUUUGGGCAGGGGUGGCUUUUCUUUGGUUUUGGGAAGGAUAUCAGGUUUUGGGAGGAGGAUGAAUGGUUGGGAAAUCAAAAGUUGAGUGAAGUGUUUCCUUGUUUAGCCAGUGUUUUGGUAGAUGUGAAUACAAGGUGGUGCUCAGUGCUUCUCCUUUGUUGGAGAGGAAGUUAUUUGGGCCCCUUUGUAGAAGAAAUUCGAAUGAUGAAGAGGUGGAAGAUUUUGGUUAAACUGCUAGAAAUGUUGAGUGAGGUGCAUCCCUCAAGAUUAGAAAAUGAUUUGAUGGUUCGGGUAAAACAAAAGUCAGAAUGAGGAAUCUGUAGAUCAUCUUUUUAUUCAUUGUGUUUUUGCCAAGUUGAGAGGGUGCUUCUUUUAUCUCUUUGGAAUAGCUUGGGUUUUGGUGAGAUCCAUUUGGGCAUUUUUUUUUUUUUUUCUUAGCCUAGCAAGGUGGAGGCCAUAGGAAAAAUUGGAAAGAGAGUUUGGCAAUUAUGCUUCUUAGCUGGGAUAUGGGCUCUUUGGUUAGAAGGGAACAAUCGCUGUUUCAGGAAUAUUAAGGGUUGAGAAUCUGAUGUCUUCAAUUUGGCAAAACUGAAUGUAAUGGAAUGGGGGCAACAUCAAAUUUUAUAGCCACUGUCCAUUUUCCCCAAUAGUUGGAUAGAUCUGUAAAUUGUGUUUUUCUUUUCUUUUCUAUAAUUUUUUUUUUCUUUUUUGUGUAAUUCUUUAGGCUUCGGCUUCUUUUCAAUAAAUUUCAUCAUCAUUCAUGACAAAAAGAAAA